AUGAGCAUUUUUCUCGGAAUAAGCGGUCGGAUAAACUUAUGGCAAAUUUUCGUGAGGUUUUAUCGGAAUGCAAUUUAUUUGAUUUGGGUUUUUUCGGGUGUUCCUUGGACUUACAAUAACAAGCAGGAAGGUCACAAAAAUGUGAAAGUGCGUCUUGACCGUGCGGUGGCUUGUCCUCGGUGGUCCUCCAUGUUCCCUAAUUGUACGGUCCAACAUAUUAUCAGUCCAAGGUCAGAUCAUUGUCCUCUUCUUAUUCAAGUGACGGGAGUUUCUCGUCCCGGGAUGCUUAUUAAAAAUCUGAGAUAUGAAGCGUACUGGGAGAGAGAGGCUGGGGCGCUGAAUGAUCAAAUUGAAUUGGUUUGGAAUAAAAGUACGCAUGUCAGUGACAUGGGAGAUGUGGCAAAUAAGUUGGACAGUCUUAUGAAGUCUCUUCAUGGGUGGAGUAAGGAACAUAUUGGUUAUUUGCCCAAAAAGCUUGAAACGGCGCGAAAGAGAUUAAAUUUGUUCUUCAAAAGAAAUGACCAUACUGCUGUUAUGGAAAGGAAGAAAAUCCUGGCGGAGAUGGAUGAACUUUUGAUUAAGGAAGAAAUCAUGUGA
rnacentral:rRNA from 1 species